UACGCUUGUAAAUCCUAUUUGUAUUUAGUUCAAGUGACCAGCAUCUGCCUCAGUUGGACUGGGCGGUCAGACUGUGAUCUUACACAACCUGAGCAGAUACUUGGUAUUGAGGACAACCGGGUGAUGAUACAAAGUACAUUACCACAAUGGGGUCAGUUACGGACACCCUUCCUUGUGUCUGCACUGCGUGAGGGGAUUUUUGUUUUGUUUUCUUUCAGGCUUGAAAGCUGAAGGUAAUACAGCCAACUCUUCAAAACUGCGCUGUAUGUAAAUGUAUGUUUGAGUUAGAAUAUUUAAAUCUGAAAAAAGUUGGUGAUUUUGGCACAUUCUACGCAAGUAUCAUGGCAGGCUUGGAUACUUUGAUUGUUAGAGCCUCAGACUUUGUACACGGGCCUGGUGAUCGUCUG
ensembl:lncRNA